GCGGUCGUAGCUCAGUUGGUAGAGCCCCGGAUUGUGAUUCCGGUUGUCGCGGGUUCAAGCCCCGUCGAUCGCCCCA
rnacentral:tRNA from 1 species